GUGCUCGCGGCCUAUCAGCUUGUUGGUGGGGUAAUGGCCUACCAUGGCUUCGACGGGUAGCCGGCCUGAGAGGGUGACCGGCCACACUGGGACUGAGACACGGCCCAGACUCCUACGGGAGGCAGCAGUGGGGAAUAUUGGACAAUGGGCGGAAGCCUGAUCCAGCAACGCCGCGUGAGGGAUGACGGCCUUCGGGUUGUAAACCUCUUUC
rnacentral:rRNA from 1 species